rnacentral:rRNA from 1 species
UGCCAGCCGCCGCGGUAAUACGUAGGGGGUUAGCGUUGUUCGGAAUUACUGGGCGUAAAGCGCACGUAGGCGGAUUAGUAAGUUAGGGGUGAAAUCCCGGGGCUCAACCCCGGAACUGCCUCUAAUACUGCUAGUCUUGAGUUCGAGAGAGGUGAGUGGAAUUCCGAGUGUAGAGGUGAAAUUCGUAGAUAUUGGGAAGAACAUCGGUGGCGAAGGCGAUUUUCUGGGCCAAAUCUGACGCUGAGGUUAGAAAGCGUGGGUAGCAAACAGGAUUAGAUA